AACAGAGACAAAAAAGAGAAAAGCGACAAAAAAAAAGAAAAAUAACGUACCUGUUCAUAACUCCAAGGGAGCACCCACCCACCCGACAGCCUCCACAAACUGACAGCCGAGCAACUCCUCCGACCUGCCACCCAUCGCUGGAUGUUCCUCCACUUUACCCACCGUAUCAAACAACUUUUACCAGUAAAUAUCGGUUUAUUCCUGAAACCAGAAGCCCUAAACAUACCUUUGUUUAUAAGGUCAGUUGUCAUUUCGUCUCUCUCAUUCCCCACUCCCCCCAGUACAAACCAGCAGGUAAAUGAAAGGUUCCAAGUUUUCUUUCUCGUUUUCCUGAUCUGCAUCUCUGGAAAAGGAGCCCACGGGACCUAGACCCUUCUGUUGGUAACGUAGACCCGAGCUUACCGAUUGCUGCUUAACAUUUUUAAAGGAUACUGUUAAGGAUACAGGUGUUCCCAUCAGCCUGGCGCGGGAGCUGCUAGGAAGCCCUCCAGAUGCGUAAAUUGGGUCGCCUUUUGGGAGCCUGGGGGUAGUUCUCUCACCAGAGUCUCCAGGCUUGAGCUGAGAAAAUAUUGAUUCGACAGUUUACGCUCGGAAAUGACAUUUCUGUUUUACAGCAAGCAGGACUGGGGGAAGGGAGGGGAGGAGCAGGAUUCGGACAUGAUUUCCCACUCCUUCAUAUGUUUUGUUAUUUAUUCUGCUGGAAGGCAAACCUUCUCGUUUGUAAAGAAAGCAUGAAAUGGGGAGGAGGGAGAGAAUUUGGACAUCACCUUUUCUAAGCUCCUGGCAAACUCUUGCUCCGAAGCAGAGAGAAAAGGCAGGUAAAUGGUUUGAGCCUUAAAAGGACAUUGUUAGGCAGGUGAGACUCCAAAACCGCAGGAUUUGGAGGGUCCGUAUCCAAUCCUGUAGAGGACCCAUACGAUUUGCAGGAUCUGGCGGUUAUACCAAGCCAAAGAAGCUUGGGAAGUGCCAGAGCUUCCUUUUCUGCGA